AAGUCGUAACAAGGUUUCCGUAGGUGAACCUGCGGAGGGAUCAUUAACACGUAUCCAAACGUUAAACAACCCCGUGAACAUACAACCUGCUCUGGUCGCCCGCUCGCAUGGACAAGCCCAGUAAAUCAAGCCCCGGAAAGUUUUUGAUUUGGGACCUCUGUGCGCGUGAGAAAAACUGACAGCGAUUCAUAGAAGCGGUAGGUCAAGUGACACGGCGUCCCCAAGUGACCAGUGAAUGAAAGUGUCGCUGGAGCGUCAAGGACGACUCUUCAAGAUUGCUAGAGGUCGACCACCGACCGGCUUCCGUGUAUACUGAGCGAACACCGCUCCUUCCGAACCCCACUUUAUUGCCUUGCCUGUAAGCAUCCAUACGGAUGGGCAGGCCCCCGAACAACUGUUAACAAUGGAUAUUGGUUCUC
rnacentral:misc_RNA from 1 species